rnacentral:lncRNA from 1 species
UGUUGGAGGCUUUAAGGUAGCUUUAAAUUCGUGUUGUCCUGGGAGCUCGCCCUUUUCGGCUGGAGUCGGGCUUUACGGCGCCGGAUGGCUCUGGACGUGAAGUCUCGGGCAAAGCGUUAUGAGAAGCUGGACUUCCUUGGGGAGGGACAGUUUGCCACCGUUUACAAGGCCAGAGAUAAGAACACCAACCAAAUUGUCGCCAUUAAGAAAAUCAAACUUGGACAUAGAUCAGAAGCUAAAGAUGGUUAUAAUAAAGGAUAAUAGUCUUGUGCUGACACCAUCACACAUCAAAGCCUACAUGUUGAUGACUCUUCAAGGAUUAGAAUAUUUACAUCAACAUUGGAUCCUACAUAGGGAUCUGAAACCAAACAACUUGUUGCUAGAUGAAAAUGGAGUUCUAAAACUGGCAGAUUUUGGCCUGGCCAAAUCUUUUGGGAGCCCCAAUAGAGCUUAUACACAUCAGGUUGUAACCAGGUG